rnacentral:misc_RNA from 1 species
GAUGAAGAACGUAGCAGAAUGCGAUAAGUAAUGUGAAUUGCAGAAUUCAGUGAAUCAUCGAAUCUUUGAACGCACAUUGCGCCCGCUGGUAUUCCGGCGGGCAUGCCUGUUCGAGCGUCAUUUCAACCCUCAAGCCCCCGGGUUUGGUGUUGGGGAUCGGCUCUGCCCUUCUGGGCGGUGCCGCCCCCGAAAUACAUUGGCGGUCUCGCUGCAGCCUCCAUUGCGUAGUAGCUAACACCUCGCAACUGGAACGCGGCGCGGCCAUGCCGUAAAACCCCAACUUCUGAAUGUUGACCUCGGAUCAGGUAGGAAUACCCGCUGAACUUAAGCAUAUCAAUAAGCGGAGGA